rnacentral:rRNA from 1 species
CCUACGGGUGGCUGCAGUUUCGAAUCAUUCACAAUGGGCGAAAGCCUGAUGGUGCGACGCCGCGUGAGGGAUGAAGGUCUUCGGAUUGUAAACCUCUGUCACUGGGGAGAAAACGCUUUGAGUUAAUAGUUCAAAGCCUGAUUUAACCCGGAGAGGAAGCAGUGGCUAACUCUGUGCCAGCAGCCGCGGUAAUACAGAGACUGCAAGCGUUAUUGGGAUGGGUGGGGCGUAAGGGGUGCGCAGGAGGUGUGAAAUCCCGAGGCUUAACCUCGGAACUGCGUCUGACACUACUCGACUAGAGUACUGGAGAGGGAAACGGAAUUCACGGUGUAGCAGUGAAAUGCGUAGAUAUCGUGAGGAACACCAGAGGCGAAGGCGGUUUCCUGGACAGUUACUGACGCUCAGGCACGAAAGCAUGGGGAGCAAAAGGGAUUAGAUACCCCUGUAGUC